UUUGGGGUCUCCGUGGGUUCCUCACACCCCAGAGACCCCAUAAUGACAUCAGGAGCUGUUCCAGAGUGUCCCCAUUGUUCUUCACAAACCCCCCUGAGAUGUGGCCACCACAAAUUUCCCAUUUCUUUAACAUCCCACCAGGGCUUUUGAGGUGUCCAUGGGUUCCUCACCCCCCAGAGACUCCAUAACUGCAUCUGGAUCCCUUCUAGAAGGUCCCCAUGGUUCUCCACAAACCCCCCUGAGAUGUUUCCACCACAAAUUUCCCCCUUCCCCUCAGCCCAGAAGAACUUUUGAGGUCUCCAUGGAUUUGUGCCCCCCCAGAGACUCCAUAACUGCACCUGGAUCCCUUCUAGAAGGUCCCCAUGGUUCUCCACAAACCCCCCUGAGAUGUUUCCACCACAAAUUCCCGCCCUUCCCCUCCCCCUAGAAGAACCGUUCCAGCGCCCCUUUGUCCCCCAACCCCUGGAGACCCCAUAACUGCAUCUGGAUCCCUUCCAGAGCGUCCCCUCGAACCCCCCUGAGAUGUUUCCACCACNUCCUGGGGAGGAGAUGGGGGAGGGGGAUGGAGGAGCCUGGAGUGAUGGGGGAGGGGAUGGGGGGAGCUGGAGGGUCCUGGUGGCUUUGGGACAUCCUGGGACAUCCUGGGACACUCUGGGGUGGCUUUGGGACAUCCUGGGACAUCGUUGGGUGGCUUUGGGACAUCCUGAAAGGGACAAUCUGUGGUGGCUUUGGGACAUCCUUGGGUGGCUUUGGGACAUCCUGAAGGGACACCCUGGGACACCCAUGGGACACCCUGAGAGCUCCUGGGACACCCAGGGGUGGCUCUGAAGAGUCCUGAGGUGGCUUUGGGACAUCCAUGGGACAUCCAGGGGUGGCUUUGGGACACCCAGGGGUGGCUCUGGGACACCCUGGGACACCCUGGAGGGGACACCCAUGGGACACCCAUUGGUGGCUUUGGGACACCUUGGGGUGGCCUUGGGACAUCCAUGGGACACCCUGGAGGGGAUAACCUGAGGUGGCUCUGGGACAUCUGUGGGACACCCAUGGGACACCCUGGGGUGGCUUUGGGACAUCCAUGGGACACCUUGAAGUGACAACCUCGGGUGGGUCUGGGGCACCCAUGGGACACCCUGAGAGCUCCUGGGACACCCUGGGGUGGCUUUGGGACAUCCUGGGACAUCCUUGGGACACCCAGGAGUGGCUUGGGGUCAACCAGGAGGGGACACCCUGGGGUGGCUUUGGGACACCUGUGGGGACAUUGAUGGGAC
rnacentral:lncRNA from 1 species